GACGAACCGUGCGAACGUUGUUCGGAAUCACUGGGCAUAAAGGGCACGUAGGCGGCUUUUCAAGUCAGGGGUGAAAUCCUGGAGCUCAACUCCAGAACUGCCUUUGAUACUGAAGAUCUUGAGUCCGGGAGAGGUGAGUGGAACUGCGAGUGUAGAGGUGAAAUUCGUAGAUAUUCGCAAGAACACCAGUGGCGAAGGCGGCUCACUGGCCCGGUACUGACGCUGAGGCACGAAAGCGUGGGGAGCAAACAGG
rnacentral:rRNA from 1 species